rnacentral:rRNA from 1 species
UACGGGGGGGGCAAGCGUUGUUCGGAAUUACUGGGCGUAAAGGGCUCGUAGGCGGCCAACUAAGUCAGACGUGAAAUCCCUCGGCUUAACCGGGGAACUGCGUCUGAUACUGGAUGGCUUGAGUGUGGGAGAGGAAUGCGGAAUUCCAGGUGUAGCGGUGAAAUGCGUAGAUAUCUGGAGGAACACCGGUGGCGAAGGCGGCAUUCUGGACCAUUACUGACGCUGAGGAGCGAAAGCGUGGGGGGGCAAACAGG